rnacentral:rRNA from 1 species
UACAGAGGGGGCAAGCGUUGUUCGGAAUUACUGGGCGUAAAGGGCGCGUAGGCGGCCUUCUAAGUCGAACGUGAAAUCCCUGGGCUCAACCCAGGAACUGCGUCCGAUACUGGAAGGCUUGAAUCCGGGAGAGGGAUGCGGAAUUCCAGGUGUAGCGGUGAAAUGCGUAGAUAUCGGGAGGAACACCUGUGGCGAAAGCGGCUCACUGGACCACAACUGACGCUGAUGCGCGAAAGCUAGGGGAGCAAACAGG